CCUACGGGUGGCAGCAGUGGGGAAUAUUGGGCAAUGGGCGCAAGCCUGACCCAGCAACGCCGCGUGAAGGAAGAAGGCUUUCGGGUUGUAAACUUCUUUUCGCAGGGACGAAGGAAGUGACGGUACUUGAGGAAUAGACCACGGCUAACUACGUGCCAGCAGCCGCGGUAAUACGUAGGAGGCAAGCGUUAUCCGGAUUUACUGGGUGUAAAGGGCGUGUAGGCGGGGACGCAAGUCAGAUGUGAAAACCAUGGGCUCAACCUGUGACCUGCAUUUGAAACUGGGUUUCUUGAGUACUGGAGAGGCAGACGGAAUUCCUGGUGUAGCGGUGAAAUGCGUAGAUAUUAGGAGGAACACCAGUGGCGAAGGCGGUCUGCUGGACAGCAACUGACGCUGAGGCGCGAAAGCGUGGGGAGCAAACAGGAUUAGAUACCCUAGUAGUC
rnacentral:rRNA from 1 species